CUUUCUUCUUGUUUUUUGUUUUGUGGGUGUGGAUUUCUAUUAUAAUACAUGAGAUGGAAAAGCAGUCCACCUGAUUCUUCAUGAAUAGAACCGUAUCUGUCAUACCCAUCUAUCUCUAUUGUGUUCAAUAAUUCGGGGAUCUUCAUAAAUGUUCCGCAUGGAUGUUUCAAGCGGAAUAGUUUAGAUAACACCUAUUGGCUUUAAAGGAAGUUUACAAUCUUCUUGUCAGGAUUAGUUCUCCAUAAUAAUAGUACUUGUUCCUCUGAAAUAUCCUCUGUAGAUAAAUAAAAGUCAGAUCUUCGAAAUAUUCUUCCCCACUGUCAAUGACAUGUAUAAAUUAAUGCUCUUCUUCUUGGUUUGCUACCCAAGCAUUUAGUUCUUCGUUUUGCCUGGUGAAUUUUGUUGGUUUAACUAUUUGUUAUUGUCUAUGCUUUUCUGUAAACAGGGUGUUUCUGUCAGGGUUCGAAGGCCUACUGAUUACAAUCCUUCUUUGGCUGCUGCACUUGGUCCUGGCCAUCCAAGCCCUCACCUUAACUUAUCUGCUGCUGGGCUUACGCCUGGGUAAGUGAAGUCGCUGUCUAUUUUCCUUUACUGUUGUUGCUGCAGAAAAUGGUGCUUCUGUCCUAAAUUUGCUCUGGAAAUCAUUAGAACUUGAUUGAUAUGAGAAAGACAAGCCAAUUAUAAGACCUGCAUUGUUAUGUGGGAAUGAAUGUUUGACUGCCAAAAAAAAAACAUAUCCACAAGACGUGCGUUGCUGAGAUGUGCUUGCUAAGAUGGGUGUGCGGUCAUAUAAGAUUAGACAAGAUUAGAAAUGAUCACAUUCGGCAGAAGGUGCAAUUAGCACCCAUCGAGAAUAAAAUGAGUCAAACGCGCUUGAGAUGGUUUAGUCAUGUCCUGUGUCUGUCUACCUUCAGAUGCACUAGUCACGCCCUCUGUCUGUGUCUACCCUUCAGACGCACUAGUCUGUACGUUCGAAGGUGUUAAAUGGAGACGAGGUAGGCCUAAAAUCACAUGAAGGAAGUUGUCUCGAAACACCUAAACAUUUGGAGUCCAUGGAAAUUUAGCCUAAAGGUAAGGUAAAAUGGAGGAAAAAGAUCUAUAAUAGGUGAUACCUAUCAGCUGGCACUAUGCCUUAGUCACGUUAGUAUGUUCACAUUAGUUCUUAGGAGUCUUUUAGUCAUAUAUGAGAUUUAUAUGCCAGUGAAAAAACAUUGAAAACUUUGUUAUCGUUGUUGUUGUUGUUAUUGUUGUUGUUGUUGUUGUUGUUGUUGUUGUUAUUAUUAUUAUUAUUAUUAUUAUUAUUGUUGUUGUUAUUAUUAUUAUUAUUAUAGGGACUAUUAUUAUUUUAAUGUUUAUCCUAAUUUGCAGAUUUUUCUUACCGAUGAGAAUUCUUUAAAUGCUUUAAUACUUAGCAUUAAAUUAUAUGGUUAUGAUUAUUUGCCUGGUAUAGAAGUUAUAUCUAUCUGUUAUAGGGUUUAUUUCAAACCUUUAUAUACUUUGAAUCCUAUGUGUAAAGUGAUGGAUUUCAAAAAUGAAACUAUUCUCAUAGAAACCAACUUUUGGAAAAUCCAAAGUAACCACCAGAAGACCUAUUAACUGGGAUGAAAUUGACUUUCCUAAGGAAUGGGUCAUAGAGGAAGCAAUUGCCCCUCGAAACACUGGCAAUACUAAAGUUACAGAAAUAGAACAAAUCUCAGAUGACACUAUUAAGAUCAGGUUCAAUGAACCCGUUCAAAUUGAUAAUAUCGGUUUAUCAUCUAGAUUACAACAACAACAACAACAACAACAACAACCCAGUAUAGUCCCACAAAGUGGGGUCUGGGGAGGNNNNNNNNNNNNNNNNNNNNNNNNNNNNNNNNNNNNNNNNNNNNNNNNNNNNNNNNNNNNNNNNNNNNNAAAGUGGGGUCUGGGGAGGGUAAUAUGUAGAUGGGCCUUACCCCUACCCGAAAGGGCAGGGAGGCUGUUUCUAAUCGACCCUCGGCUCAGUGGAGGAAAGAAAAACAAAAACAAGAAAACAAAAACAAAAACAAACACAAAAGAGCAUUAGUAACUCCAGCAGAAGUUGCGUAAAUAAAUAUCUAAACAAAAGAACCAUAAAUAAAAUAGCAUGCAAUAAUAUCAGACAGUAACUACCAUAAAUAACUACCAUAAGGGAGACACAAUCCAAUCAAAAGAACCAUAAAUAAAAUAGCAUGCAAUAAUAUCAGACAGUAACUACCAUAAAUAACUACCAUAAAGGAGACACAAUUCAGUUUAUCAUCUAGAUUAACUAGAUCAAAUGCUUCAUAUAUCUCUCCAAUUGAUUAUGUGGUAGAUUUUCAUCUAGAGCUUCCACAUCUCAAAUUAGAGAAAGCAAUAGGAUUAAUGACAUUAGUAUCAGUAGUGAUAAUAUAGUCAAGAUUAAUUUAGAUCUUGAACCCACUGCAUCCGAAAUGAAUUUUUCGAAUGGUGUUAAUAAUGGUUGAAAACCAAAUAGAUUUUAGUCCGGGUUCACCGGCAAAACAAAAUGAUUUUAGAAGAAUUUCUAAAACCCAUAUGGGCUGUUUUCAGAAAAUGGUUUCAUGAAAACAUGACUAGUGAAUUGAUACAAUUUUUCAGGCAUGAUUUUUAUGAGGAUGUUAGCAAAAAAAAUAAGAUUAUUGCUUUUGUCUCUUGAUUUAUGUCUAAACAUGUUUAUAACUAUAUUUCUGUAUUAGAAAGAGAUUAUACGCUCACUAAUGGAAAUAUUAUUAAUUCAAUUUUCCCACCCCAACAAUCUUUUCACAUAGGAGAAAAAGAUAAGAUUAGAUAUUGCACCGCCUUUUCAAAAAUAUUUGAAAAUGAUAUUACUGCCAUAACAGCAAAAAAUUUGAAUACUAUGCUUAUCCAAUUUUAUCUUUGUUUUUGUUUUUGUUUUUGUUUUAAUGCAGCUUUUCAUUUUAUCCUAUGCGCCGAGGGNNNNNNNNNNNNNNNNNNNNNNNNNNNNNNNNNNNNNNNNNNNNNNNNNNNNNNNNNNNNNNNNNNNNNNNNNNNNNNNNNNNNNNNNNNNNNNNNNNNNNNNNNNNNNNNNUUUCGGGUAGGGGUAAGGCUCGUCUACAUAUUACCCUCCCCAGACCCCACCUGGUGGGAAUAUACUGGGUAGUUGUUGUUGUUGUUGCUUAUCCAAAAUAACUAUACCAAUAUGUAUGUUAGUAUCUUGGGCGAACAGGUUAUAAAGAUUCAUGAGAAGUUGGACAAGCGUAUAGCCAAGAUCCAAAAAAUCCAACAAAAGGAUACUAAAGGUAAAGAGCAAAUCGCUACCGCAAGUAUCCUACCACCUCUUGAGAUAAAGGUCUUUACGAUUUGGAAGAACUUAAUAAGAAGUUCGGCGAGUUUAGGGCAAGUCCCUUAACUUUAGAGCAUAAGCCGCAAAAAAGGUAAAGGAUUAUAGGUAGAAGAUGAGAUUAAUAAGAUCUCUGAAAAAUAUGCUCGCAAACCUUACUAAAAAAUGUUUUAUUAUCCUAGACCUACCCUUCGAGAUGCCCUAAUAGAAGAACAGAAUAAUGACCACUACCCCCAAGGUUAUAGUGGGUCAGAUAUCUAUGAGCGAAAUAUAGAUGGUCUUGCUGAAAAACAAAUCUAUACUACAGUACAUAGAAUGCUUAUAUACAGUACUAUUUGUAAAGUUAAUAAGAAUUCAGAUAGGGCAAUUGCAGAAAUAAUUAUUGCCGGAUUUACUGGUCAGCUCAAAGGCUGGUGGGACUAUUAUCUCACCCAGGACCAACGCCAUCAAAUAAUGAAUGCGACCAAGACUGAAGAAGAUAAGACUGUCCAAAAUUCAGUCUACUCUUUAGUAAUGAAUAUCAUAGAACAUCUUCCGAUAAUAGUGAGACCAUUACGACGAUGCUCCAGAAUCUAAGAUGUAAAAUACUUACAUCUUUUGGAUGGUAUAAAGAUGUUUUCUUAUCCAGAGUAAUGGAGUUACCAGAGAGUAAUAGCACUUAUUGGAAGUCCAAAUUUAUAGAUGGACUCCCUCCCUUAUUUGCUGAAAGGAUUUGAAAGGUCCGUAGAGGCACGGGGAUGAGUAUCAAUUAUGAUGCUUGCUCAUAUGGUAAACUCUUUAGUGUGCGUACUCAGGAAGGUUUAGCUCUAUGUAAUGAAAUCAAGCUAAGCCAACAAAUUAACAAACAUCGUCUCACUGAGAGACAACAACUGGGCGAAUUUUGUGAACACCAUAGAUAUACCUUCUAAUAAAAAGAAAUCUCAUAAGAACAAGGAUUUCAAAAGGAAGAAGGGUUCGCCCGAAAAACAUUUAAAACGUUAUGAAAAAACUCAGAAGAGAAAGACUUUUCAUAAAGCCAAAAAGGGAUGUAUCAAGUCAAAGAACCCCAGGCCUGCUUCAUAUUUGGAUGUAUGGGCCAUUAUGCAAAAGAUUGCAAGGUCAAAGAUAAAAUUAAAGACCUGGAUUUAGAUGAUAGUAUCAAAGAACCGUUAUACAAAAUUCUUUUGAACUCUUCACCAGAUAUAUUCGACACAGAUGAAAAUGAUUCAUCAACAAGUGAAGACUUAUGAAUCCUUCAUAAAGAGAAUUACAUUUCAUCUUUUGAAGAUGAGCAAGAGUUUUGUGAUAAGGGACAACAACAACAACAACAACCCAGUAUAAUCCCACUUAGUGGGGUCUGGGGAGGGUAGUAUGUAUGCAGACCUUACCCCUACCCUUGGAUAGAGAGGUUGUUUCCAAUAGACCCCCGACAUCCUUACCUCCAAGAACUUCCCACCUUGCUCUUGUGGAGACUCGAACUCACAACCUCUCGGUUGGAAGUGGGGGUUGCUUACCAUCAGAGCAACCCCUCUUGUCUUUUGUGAUAAGGGACAAUGCUCAAAUAAUUUUUGUAAUAUCAACAAUGAUCUUUUUAAUAUUUACUCCCAAAUUUCUGGUUUAAAUAUCAAUGUCUUGAUCAAUGAUAGCAUAAUUGAGUUAUUUUAAGGGUUAUUAAAGACCCUGAAUUAAGGUCCCAAAUUAUUGACAAACUUCCUACAAGUUCAGAAUUAUGGAAAAAGAUGGAAGAAAUUCCUUCUCAAAAGGGACCAUACACAAUAUCUGAAAUAAGAAAGAUGGUGAAAAAUAAGUCUCAACCUGAAGGGUGGCUACUGUUCAAGAUUUAAGUACAGAAAUAAAUUAUCUCAAGAAAGAAAUCUCAGAACUAAAGGCUUCAAAUGUAGCCUUAGAUAAAAGAAUUUUCAAAUUGGAAAAUUCAAAUGAAGAUAUCAGUAUCAAGAUUACCGAGAAAAAGGAUAAAGCAAGUACUUCGGAAGAAGCUACUGCCAAUACUUUACUGGCAGCCAUGGAUUUGUCUGGAGAUGAAUUUUUGCAAAAAUUUCAGUAUUUUACCACUCAAUUUUUUUUAGUAAAAAUAACUCUUUUAAUCGAUUACAAUUUUAGAAAAGAAUUUUUGCUUUGGUUGAUAGCGAUGCAGACUUGAGUUGUGUAAAAAAAGCAGUUAUACCCUCCAGAUAUUUUCAUAGGACUACUCCCCGUUUAAAAAAUGCUAGCAGUGGUCCAAUGGGUAUUUCUUAUAAAUUACCUAAAGCUUAUAUUUGCCAACAAAAUAUUUGUAUACCAGAAAGUUUUGUUUUGGUAAAAGAUAUUGAUCGGGAUGUAAUACUAGGUGUCCCUUUUUUCCACAAGUUGAUGCCUUUUUCACAUUGGGAUACAAAAAGUUUUACUGGUAUCUGUAAUGAUAGUAUUAUUACUUUUGAGUUUAUAACUCAACCAAUCCAAAGAUUUCUAAAUGAAAUAAUUUUGACAAAAUUUCUUCAAAAGUCAAUGAAACUGAAUUUUUGAAAAACGAGAUUAGUUCCAAUACUAUUGAACAAAGAUUUAAAAAAUCCUGAAUUGAUAGAAAAAUUAAUUUUCUUAAGAACCACUUUUUUACCUAUAUCUGUGGUAACCAUCCAAAUCAAUUUUGGAAUAGGGAAAAGCAUAUCAUAAGUCUUCCUUAUGAAGAAGGCUUUUAUGAGGAUAAUGUCCCUACUAAGGCUCGCCCAUGUCAAAUGAACUCCGAUUAUUUGGAGUUAUGCAAAAAGGAGAUUGAUUCGUUACAACAAAAAGGUUUAAUAAGGCCUUCAAGUCCAAAUCUUGUACUGUACUGCUUUUUACGUUAAUAAGCAUGCCGAACAGUAACGAGGAGUUCCUAAAUUAGUUAUUAACUACAAGCCCCUUAAUAAGGUUUUAAAAUGGAUAAGAUAUCCUAUUCCUAACAAAAAGAAUUUAUUAGAUAGGUUGCAUGAUGCCAUUAUAUUUUUAAAAAAUUCGAUUUAAAAUCAGGCUAUUGAACCCUUAGAGGAUGGCCUGGUGGCAAUUGACGUGAGCCUUGGGGUUUGCUCCCUUUCAAGGUCUCAAGUUCGAAACCCACUGGGUGUAAACAAUUUCUGAGGGCCAUCAGACUGGGUAAAACCUGAAUUAACUGUGGUGCACUUGCGGGAAACUCCUUGUCGAGAGCCUGUGCACCCCCGGGAUUAGUCGAGGCUCGAAAAAACUUGGAUACCCGGUGCAAAAUCAAAAAAAAAAAAAGGCUAUUGUCAUAUUCUGAUAUUUGAAUUAGGUAAGUAUAAAACGACUUUUAAUGUUCCGAUGGACAAUAUGAAUGGAAUGCUAUGCUAUUUGAUUUGAAAAAUGCACCAAUAGAAUUUCAAAAAAAUUAUGAACGAUAUCUUCCUUCCUUAUACAGAUUUCAUAAUUGUUUAUAUUGAUGAUAUCUUGGUAUUUUUAAAAAAUAUUGAGUCUCAUUUCAAACAUCUUGAUUUGUUUAAAAAAAUUAUUAUUCAAAAUGGUUUGGCAAUAUCCAACCAAAAAUGAUGAUUUUUCAAUACAAUAUCAGAUUUCUCGGCCAUAAUAUCGAAAGGGUAGAAUUACUCCCAACAUUGAAUUUGCUUCUAAAUUUUCUGAUAUUAUUACCGAUAAGACCCAGCUUCAACGAUUUUUUGGAAUCUUGAAUUAUAUCUCUCCUUUUAUAAAGGAUCUGGCUAAAGAGACUGCUCUUCUUUAUGAUAGAUUGAAGAAGAACCCAAAGGCUUGGACUGACAGUCAUACUGCAUCAGUCAAGAGAAUAAACCAGAAGGUUAAUAAUCUUCCGUGUUUGACUCUUGACAAUCCCGCUUGGGCAAAAAUGGUCGAAACUGAUGCCUGAUAUCGGCUAUGGUAGGAUAUUGAAACAAUGUUCUCCAUUAGAGAAUAUCUUGUUCAAAUUUAUUAAGGAAAAUGGAAUGAAUCCCAAAAGAAUUAUGCGACUAUAGCUAAAGAAAUUCUUGCUAUUGUUAAAUGUAUUAUGAAAUUUCAAUUUGAUUUAUAAAAUCAGAAAUUCUUGAUUAAAACUGAUUGUCACGCGGCAAAGAUUACUUUAGUAAAGAUUUUAAACAUGAUGUUUCAAAACAGAUGUUUGCAAGGUGGCAAGCUUUAUGAUCCCCUUUUGAUUUCGAAAUAAUAUACAAAAAAAGGUCUAAUAACACCCUUCCUGAUUUCCUUACAAGAGCAUAUUCGAACUAAUAAAGUCUCUCUUUGAGUUUUACAGAAAAUGUGGCCUACUUACAGACCUCCUCCUCAACGAGGAAGAGGAAGGGCAUCAAGUGAUAGUAGAAGGAAUAAUAUUCUCGCACACAUUGGAAAUCAAAAGCUAAUAGCAACUAAUAUAGCCGGAGAUAAUACCAACCAUGAGUUCAUGGAUUUUAUACAAUCCAGAAAGGAUGAAGGCACUUCAUCCAAUACACCAUCUUACUCCUCAGUUAUAACAGAGAACAACAAUGAAAAUCUUGAAGUUUAUAACCAAAAGGACACAAAAGAGUUAAUAAUUCUUUUGGAACAAUCCGACCUUAAAUGGAAGGAUAACCCUUGGCAUUAGUGGCCAUGUAUUUUGAUAUAGCACCAUACGCUACUCUUGCUUAUAAAUACAUGAUGCAUUAUGAGAUUAUACUCUCCACAACAGGAUCAGCUAAAAUUCAGCACUUUUAUCCUGCAAAUAAAAGAAAAACUUAUAGUUUUUCGAAGAUUAUUAUCAAGAAGGUAAUACAUUCAGAUUAAUGGGGAAUUAGUAACCUUAAGGAUCGAGAAUACACUCAUCCUAACAAAAAAGUCUCAAUCAAAUUUAAUUACUGGAACUAUGUAGAAAGUUUUAAUAAAAUUUUUCUUUGUGCAGAUACCAAUAAUAAAACUUUUAAUUAUUGGGCUCUGGAUCAUUUCCGAUUGAGUUGCCUAGGAAAAUAGAUUACAAGAACUCCAGCCCUAGCCUAGCUACUGAUCUCUAGGUAAACGUUAAACCAUGAUGCUCCUCACAACCCUUUAACAGUCAUCUGCCUAAACGGGUUUUACUAGCAUCACCUGUUAGGUUGGCCUAACCAAGGUUUACUGUCGAGAUUAGUAACUGCCUGGCCUAUAUAGUUCUUAACCUAUAAUCUCGUCGGAGUAAUAUUGUAAACUCUUGGUUACAAAAGAUGCUUAGCAAAAAACCUUCUAAUACUAAGUUUAACACUUAAUUAUUUAGCCUAUCAUUUAGGCUAACAAUAAUAUAAAUAACGUAGGGAGAGAGAAAAAUAGUACCGGAGACCUUCUGUUUUGUGGUCAAGCGACCUUUUUGAUUUUUAUUUCCGAACUUAAAUUAUUACAAAGAGAUUUUUACAAGAGAGUGGAGAGAGAAACUAGAGAGAAGUCAGAGUAUUGGC
rnacentral:lncRNA from 1 species